GAUGAACGCUGGCGGCGUGCCUAAUACAUGCAAGUCGAGCGAUGCGGGGCCGGGUGAGUAACACGUGGAUAACUUCCUAUAAGAAUGGGAUCAGUUAGGGAAACCGGAGCUAAACCCGACACUUAUAGUUGGAUCCGCGCUGCAUUAGUUAGUUGGUAAGGUAACGGCUUACCAAGGCAACGAUGCAUAGCCGACCUGAGAGGGUGAUCGGCCACACUGGAACUGAGACACGGUCCAGACUCCUACGGGAGGCAGCAGUAGGGAAUCUUCCGCAAUGGGCGAAAGCCUGACGGAGCAACGCCGCGUGAGUGAUGAAGGUCUUCGGAUCGUAAAACUCUGUUAUUAGGGAAGCGGUACCUAAUCAGAAAGCCACGGCUAACUACGUGCCAGCCGCCGCGGUAAUAC
rnacentral:rRNA from 1 species